CGAUUAAGUUAUUAAGGGCGCACGGUGGAUGCCUUGGCACUAGAAGCCGAUGAAGGACGUUACUAACGACGAUAUGCUUUGGGGAGCUGUAAGUAAGCUGUGAU
rnacentral:rRNA from 1 species